rnacentral:ncRNA from 1 species
UGAGACCUGAUGCCGAGCCGAUUGUGGUGAAGUGGAUGAUCCUAUGCUGUCGAGAAAAGCCUCUAGCGAGUUUCAUGGCGGCCCGUACCCUAAACCGACUCAGGUGGUCAGGUAGAGAAUACCGAGGCGUUCGGGUGAACUAUGGUUAAGGAACUCGGCAAAAUGCCCCCGUAACUUCGGGAGAAGGGGGGCCACAACCGGUGAUGAGUCUUGCACUCUGAGCUGGGGGUGGCCGCAGAGACCAGCGAGAAGCGACUGUUUACUAAAAACACAGGUCCGUGCGAAGCCGUAAGGCGAUGUAUACGGACUGACGCCUGCCCGGUGCUGGAACGUUAAGGGGACCGGUUAGUCACAUUUCGGUGUGGCGAAGCUGAGAACUUAAGCGCCAGUAAACGGCGGUGGUAACUAUAACCAUCCUAAGGUAGCGAAAUUCCUUGUCGGGUAAGUUCCGACCUGCACGAAUGGCGUAACGACUUCUCGACUGUCUCAACCAUAGGCCCGGUGAAAUUGCACUACGAGUAAAGAUGCUCGUUUCGCGCAGCAGGACGGAAAGACCCCGGGACCUUUACUACAGUUUGAUAUUGGUGUUCGGUUCGGCUUGUGUAGGAUAGGUGGGAGACUUUGAAGCGGCCACGCCAGUGGUUGUGGAGUCGUCGUUGAAAUACCACUCUGGUCGUGCUGGAUGUCUAACCUCGGUCCGUGAUCCGGAUCAGGGACAGUGUCUGAUGGGUAGUUUAACUGGGGCGGUUGCCUCCUAAAGAGUAACGGAGGCGCCCAAAGGUUCCCUCAGCCUGGUUGGCAAUCAGGUGUUGAGUGUAAGUGCACAAGGGAGCUUGACUGUGAGACCGACGGGUCGAGCAGGGACGAAAGUCGGGACUAGUGAUCCGGCGGUGGCUUGUGGAAGCGCCGUCGCUCAACGGAUAAAAGGUACCCCGGGGAUAACAGGCUGAUCUUCCCCAAGAGUCCAUAUCGACGGGAUGGUUUGGCACCUCGAUGUCGGCUCGUCGCAUCCUGGGGCUGGAGUCGGUCCCAAGGGUUGGGCUGUUCGCCCAUUAAAGCGGUACGCGAGCUGGGUUUAGAACGUCGUGAGACAGUUCGGUCCCUAUCCGCUGCGCGCGCAGGAACAUUGAGAAGGGCUGUCCCUAGUACGAGAGGACCGGGACGGACGAACCUCUGGUGUGCCAGUUGUCCUGCCAAGGGCAUGGCUGGUUGGCUACGUUCGGAAAGGAUAACCGCUGAAAGCAUCUAAGCGGGAAGCCUGCUUCGAGAUGAGUGUUCCCACCUCCUUGAGAGGGUAAGGCUCCCAGUAGACGACUGGGUUGAUAGGCCAGAUGUGGAAGCCCGGUAACGGGUGGAGCUGACUGGUACUAAUAGGCCGAGGGCUUGUCCUC